CUCCGACCUGGGGUAGUGCCCCUGACUGGUGCUGCACUUGCAGCCCCCGUGCGCGUUGCGCUGGGUGCCUUUGCCUUCUUUCUUGUGCUUCACCCUCCUGUUUUGGAACCAGAUUUUCACUUGCUUCUCGGACAGGUUCAGCUUUCCGCCUCGGGGCAGCCGCUCCCCCUCGGGCACCCUCGGGGGAACCCCUUCUCCCCGCUGUCCCCACUCCCCGGCAGCCGCAGGGCUCCUACCCAUGCCGAGGCAGUGAAACCUCCGGGGGUCGCUGACGCUGUAGGUGGUGGCGGCACAGGCAGGUCGCAAUUGUUACUCUAGUCUCUUUCAGGAGAGAAAACAACUCUACUCCAACAUCUUAACCAAGCUGCAAUGAGAUUUACAAAUCUGAUCACAUAGUGCCUUUGAAUCACAUACGCAAUUCUUCCCUCUGCUGCUUCUUCACACAUGCGUCAAGAAUUGAUAGCAUUCAUAUGGUGAUGGGAUAAAGCACAGAUUUUCACUCUGCUAUGUCAGGCCCGAUGCUCAGGGUGAGACUGCCAGCAGCCAAAAAUUAACUGAAAGAAGUAACCGGAUCACAAAGAGAAGCAAUUUCUUUCCAAUAUCUCUCUUGCUUUGAAAGGAAACACAGAAGAUGACUACAGCUUUACCAAACUAACAGCAUCUGUACCGCUAACAGAUACAGCAGAGGAUCCAGCCCACGGUAUUCCUUGAUACUUGUUUUCAACACUUCCAAUAGAUAUGGUUCUUAAAGAAAACCUUGGUUAGUUUACCUGCGGUUUUACAGAGAUUUUGCAAAAUAAUCAGUUAAUCAGCAAGAAACAACGCAACAAAACUGGUCAGAGAAACGAAUGCAGUCCUAUGGCUCUAACAGUUUUGUUUUGUUUUGUUGAAACUCGAGGGGCGAUGGUGACUGAUACCAUUAGCCUGAACAUUUAAAUUAUGGACAGCACAUUAGCCAGGCUUGUCAAGAGCAAUGGGACAUCGAAGCAGGACAGAAGAGCCAACCCAGAGAUGAGAGGCUUUGUGUCAUGGAAGGGACCAACAUGAGAGGAGGUCUUGGGGCAGAAAAAGCAAGGCAUAUCCUGAUGUGGCUGCUGGCUGCAUAUACUUCGGUUUGAGUGCCUGUCCCAGAAUUCCCUUCACUCAGCCCAGAAACAUGGCACUUCCACUAAAUACCUGCCACAGCUGUUUGUCUGUUAAAGGUCACCACAUACUGAACAUCUGGAAACAGCAGAUGACAGGACAGGUACUUGUUGGGAAAGUAAGGUGCUCCUAAUGCAAUGAACUAACCCAGGACCCUAGGACUUUCUUUCUCCCUGUCUUAGCUACAACCCACCAGGUGAGCCAACCAAGCCACACAGCACAGGGAUGUGGGACCUCCAGCAGGACAGCUGGGCCCCACCACUGCCACCCGGACUCAGCUGUGAUGUGGGCAAGCCUGCCCCUUCAACAUCAUUUCCAAGAAUUCCAGUGUGGCGUUGCACAGCAGUAACUCUGUCACCUGGCGGCUGCCGUGAAACGGCCAUUUGGAAACCAACAGGUCAUCAAAUCCGUGAGCAGAGAGGGCCAGCACCAGGAGGCACAGCUUCACUGGAACCUGCGGGUUUCCUCUUCCUUUGCCAGUACUAAAUUUGGGCCAUUUUCUCAAUUUCGGGACUAUUAGGCAGAAGCAAUGAGUCAUCAGUCCCACUAAGUCCAAUUUCCGUGUGUGACACAACUGCAAGAACAGAAACUAGGUAAAAACAACCAAAACAAAACAAAAACCCAAAGAAAACAAAACAAAAACCAACGAAACAGUAAACACAUGAACAUGCUAGCAUGAAAGCAAACUAUUACGCAGGGGAAUUCUGUGUUAUUCUGUAGAAAUCUGUUAUUUUGGAAAUGAAACCUGUUGCAAGUAGCUCAUGACACAAAAAUACUUAGUUUUCCAAUGUGACAGUAAAAGAUGCUGCUUUUUUCCUUUACAGCAAAGUGUCACAGACUAUCACACAACCAUCUUUGUAUAGACUUUAUUUCUGAGAAAUACACCACCAAGAUCUUUACGAGUAAAGGAGAUUAAGUGGCAACGCAGUCUUUCAGAAAACAGGCUGAUCAGUAUAUGCACUGUAAGAAGACAGGAAAAAAGAAUUGCAGGUUUCAGAAUUAAAAUGAUCUAGCAGUGAAGAUUUUAAAUAUGAAAAAGGUGUUAUUGUAAUUAAGAUAUAUGGAGUGAAGCACUGAGGAAAGGGUAAUGUAGGGUAGUUCUUUUCACACUCAUGAAAAGCAGGUUUAGCUCCAAAUGGUUUCUUGAGAAG